GUCCAGCUGACGAAUCUCAAAUAGGACGAAACGAGCGUCGAAUUGGAU
rnacentral:hammerhead_ribozyme from 1 species